AUUUCUCAUGCAGUGCGCCACUUUUGCCCCAGUGGUCGCUGUGGGGAAAUGAAUGGCGGUCUUGUUCAUUAAGUCACCUGCGGAAGGAAGGAAUCAUCUUCAGCUGCCAAGAAGAUUCGUCGCCAAACAUCCACGUUUGGGGCUUACUUGGAGGACGCUGAGAACUUAUCCAAACACUGGAUGUCAGAAGCUGCGAUGAGGUGGCGGCUUGUCCAGGGUGUACCCCGCCUUCGGCCCGAUUGUAGCUGAGAUAGGCACCAGCGACCCCAAAGGGAAUCAGCGGUAGAAAAUGGAUGGAUGUCAGAAGGCC